ensembl:lncRNA
CUAGUUGCUCUUGGGCAUAAAUAUAGCACAAGGAAUCAAACAUCAAUCAAGCCAGUUCUGGAUGGAAAAGAAAACUUGACAGACUAUUAUAGAAACUACUCUUAGUAGGGUGUAAGCUUCACUCUAAUGAUGGAACUUCUGAGAUCCACAAGUUUUCAGGACUGAUCGAUUGUCUUCAUUGUUGGGAGUUGACGGAACAAUACCCAGUGGAUGAAAGUCAGAUGGGCUGUUGAACCACACUCAGUAAUCAGUUAUACACUCACCUAAAGGAUUAUUAGGAACACCAUACAAAUACUAUGUUUGACCCCCUUUCGCCUUAAGAACUGGCUUAAUUCUAUGUGGCAUUGAUUCAACAAGGUGCUGAAAGCAUUCUUUAGAAAUGUUGGCCCAUAUUGAUAGGAUAGCAUCUUGCAGUUGAUGGAGAUUUGUGGGAUGCACAUCCAGGGCACAAAGCUCCCGUUCCACCACAUCCCAAAGAUGCUCUAUUGGGUUGAGAUCUGGUGACUGUGGGGGCCAUUUCAGUACAGUGAACUCAUUGUCAUGUUCAAGAAACCAAUUUGAAAUGAUUCGAGCUUUGUGACAUGGUGCAUUAUCCUGCUGGAAGUAGCCAUCAGAGGAUGGGUACAUGGUGGUCAUAAAGGGAUGGAUAUGGUAAGAAACAAUGCUCAGGUAGGCCGUCGCAUUUAAACGAUGCCCAAUUGGCACUAAGGGGCCUACAGUGUGUCACGAAAACAUCCCCCACACCAUUACACCACCACCACCAGCCUGCACAGUGGUAACAAGGCAUGAUGGAUCCAUGUUCUCAUUCUGUUUACGCCAAAUUCUGACUCUACCAUCUGAAUGUCUCAACAGAAAUCGAGACUCAUCAGACCAGACAACAUUCUUCCAGUCUUCAACUGUCCAAUUUUGGUGAGUGUACGUUCAACAGAUCGGGACAUCACAACCCCUUUUCUGGUGACACAUCAUGUUACCGACUGGAUACAGACAACUGAGUAUGAAUCAUCGACAGCGAGAUGAGAAGAGAAUCCACCCAAGUCCUGAAGGGCUCGACAUAUUACAGGUCAGAGUACCACAGGCCAGUUGACUGGACAGGUCACA